rnacentral:rRNA from 1 species
UACGUAGGGUGCGAGCGUUAAUCGGAAUUACUGGGCGUAAAGCGUGCGCAGGCGGUUUUGUAAGCCAGAUGUGAAAUCCCCGGGCUUAACCUGGGAAUGGCAUUUGGGACUGCAAGGCUGGAGUUUGGCAGAGGAGACUGGAAUUCCUGGUGUAGCAGUGAAAUGCGUAGAUAUCAGGAGGAACACCGGUGGCGAAGGCGGCGACCUGGGUAGAUACUGACGCUGAGGCGCGAAAGCGUGGGGAGCAAACAGG